AUUAGUGUGUAUUUAAAGAUGUUUGCUUGAUAUUUAUUAAUUGUUUAAUUAUUUAUUGUAUUUACAGAAAAUAUUUUAUUUAAAUAGAUGGGAGACCCAAAAAUAUUUUUUAUUAUCGUACUCGCUAGAGUUUAGAACUCUGUGCCUACGUACCUUCGCAUUAGGCGAGGGAUCAGAGUACCGUAGCUCUUGUAUAAAAUAU
rnacentral:lncRNA from 1 species